ACGGAGGGUGCAAGCGUUAUCCGGAUUCACUGGGUUUAAAGGGUGCGUAGGCGGGUAUUUAAGUCAGUGGUGAAAUCCUAGAGCUUAACUCUAGAACUGCCAUUGAUACUAUUUAUCUUGAAUAUUGUGGAGGUAAGCGGAAUAUGUCAUGUAGCGGUGAAAUGCUUAGAUAUGACAUAGAACACCUAUUGCGAAGGCAGCUUACUACGCAUAUAUUGACGCUGAGGCACGAAAGCGUGGGGAUCAAACAGG
rnacentral:rRNA from 1 species